rnacentral:rRNA from 1 species
CAGUAGCCACGGGAAUACGGAGGGCGCGAGCGUUACCCGGAUUUACUGGGCGUAAAGGGCGUGUAGGCGGCCUGGGGCGUCCCAUGUGAAAGGCCACGGCUCAACCGUGGAGGAGCGUGGGAUACGCUCAGGCUAGAGGGUGGGAGAGGGUGGUGGAAUUCCCGGAGUAGCGGUGAAAUGCGCAGAUACCGGGAGGAACGCCGAUGGCGAAGGCAGCCACCUGGUCCACUUCUGACGCUGAGGCGCGAAAGCGUGGGGAGCAAACCGGAUUAGAUACCCGGGUAGUCCCUGUCUCUUAUAC